CAACAAACAGUCAGUCUCCAACAUGUUUACAUUAUAUAAACAAAAAAUAGAUCAUAAACAGAGUAAAUAAGUACAUGAAUCAUUUAUGAAAACACCCGAUGGUUAAAGCUCUUCUUCCUCCCUGUACCUGUUGAGAACCAUGUUUUUGUGUAUAAACUGGGUCAUGUUUGGACAUUAGUUGAGCUCCACACUUUCAUAACUUGGUUAUUUUAGCCUCAGUGGCAGUAAAACAGCCUUUAAAAAAAAAAGGAACAGUAAAAAAAUUUUUUCUGAAAAAUUACAAAAUUCAAAGAUUUACUCAAACACAUUGGAUAAACAUACAGAGCCGCAGGAAUGACUCUAAGAUAAUAGAAACAUUUACCUUGACUGUGGAUCAUGUGUAAACAAACCAGCUGAUGUUCACUGCAGUAAAAUCAAUGCAGUUUUGAUGGGAACUCUACGGUACCACCACACUGCAUUACCUAUUGGUAUCUUUCCUAAAAAGUAUUAUUGUAAACAUAGUCCCAGAAUAUCAGCUUGGUACUAGGCAGGCAUCAGAGGGCAGGCGCCGGCUACCUCUGUGCAGAACAGAGGCAAUGAAAAGGACUGUCCACUACAGAAGAGUAUUUGUUGCCUAAGUUUUUAAUUUCAGACAUUAACAGAAGUUGCUUUAACAAACAAUUAAAGGUGUAUUUGUUUACAUAUGAAGUACCAUGAAUGAAAUAAGUUCAUCUCUUCUCUCUGAUGGAUUACGUUUUCUUGUUAUCCCUAAAAUAACUUUUUUUCUUUUUUGUCUUUUCACUUUUCUUUCUUCAUCUAAAUUAUGUAUUGGUUUAUUUUUCAACAAGCAACAGAAAAUAAGAGCUACUGUAUGAAUGAAAUGUAGAAUGAGUGUUAUGUAAGUGUGAUAUCUGUAAGUACAUGUCUGAGUUCAAAAUAAAAAUGGAAAAGAAGAUAAGGACCUCAGGAAGAGGAGUGCAUAUUUUGUUGUAACUAACGGUGGAUCCAAAAUAAAACAAAACAAAACAAA